rnacentral:rRNA from 1 species
UACGGAGGGUGCAAGCGUUAAUCGGAAUUACUGGGCGUAAAGCGCGCGUAGGUGGUUUGAUAAGCGAGAUGUGAAAGCCCCGGGCUUAACCUGGGAACGGCAUUUCGAACUGUCAGGCUAGAGUAUGGUAGAGGAGUGUGGAAUUUCCUGUGUAGCGGUGAAAUGCGUAGAUAUAGGAAGGAACACCAGUGGCGAAGGCGGACACUCUGGACCAAUACUGACACUGAGGUGCGAAAGCGUGGGGAAGCAAACAGGGAUUAAGAUACCCCGUAGUCC